CUCUGUGACUCCUACGGGAGGCAGCAGUGGGGAAUAUUGCACAAUGGGCGCAAGCCUGAUGCAGCAACGCCGCGUGAGCGAUGAAGGCCUUCGGGUCGUAAAGCUCUGUCCUCAAGGAAGAAUAAAUGACGGUACUUGAGGAGGAAGCCCCCGGCUAACUACGUGCCAGCAGCCGCGGUAAUACGUAGGGGCAAGCGUUAUCCGGAAUCACUGGGCGUAAAGGGUGCGUAGGCGGUUUUUCAAGUCAGAAGUGAAAGGCUAUGGCUCAACCAUAGUAAGCUUUUGAAACUGUUAAACUUGAGUGCAGGAGAGGAAAGUGGAAUUCCUAGUGUAGAGGUGAAAUUCGUAGAUAUUAGGAGGAACACCAGUGGCGAAGGCGACUUUCUGGACUGUAACUGACGCUGAGGCACGAAAGCGUGGGGAGCGAACAGGAUUAGAUACCCUGUAG
rnacentral:rRNA from 1 species